UACGUAGGGUGCGAGCGUUAAUCGGAAUUACUGGGCGUAAAGCGUGCGCAGGCGGUUCGUCGUGUCCGAUGUGAAAGCCCCGGGCUCAACCUGGGAAUGGCAUUGGAAACUGGCGGACUCGAGUGUGGCAGAGGGGGGUGGAAUUCCGCGUGUAGCAGUGAAAUGCGUAGAGAUGCGGAGGAACACCGAUGGCGAAGGCAGCCCCCUGGGCUAACACUGACGCUCAGGCACGAAAGCGUGGGGAGCAAACGAGGAUAGCAGUA
rnacentral:rRNA from 1 species